AAAAGGUUUGGUCCUAGCCUUAUUAUCAGUUUUUUCUCAAAUUACACAUGCAAGUCUCAGCACACCCGUGAGGAUACCCUUAUACCCUUAACCAGGCCAAGGAGAUGGCAUCAGGCGCAACACCUGCCCACAACGCCUAGUCCCACCACACCCCCAAGGGCACUCAGCAGUGAUAAAUAUUGCUCAUAAGCUAUAGCUUGAAUCAGUUAAAGAAAGUAGAGCCGGCCAACUCGGUGCCAGCCGCCGCGGCUAAACCGCACGGACUCAAAUUGAUAGUUGUCGGCGUUAAGCGUGAUUAAAGUUCCUCUCAAUUAGAAUAAAACCUACCCUUAGCUGUGAAAAGCUUGAUGCUAGAGAAAACCAUAAACGAAAGUUAUUCUAAUAAUUACUUGAAUACACGACAGUUAGA
rnacentral:rRNA from 1 species